UACGUAGGGGGCCAGCGUUGUCCGGAAUCAUUGGGCGUAAAGCGCGCGUAGGCGGCCAGAUAAGUCCGGUGUGAAAGUCAAAGGCUCAACCUUUGAAUGCCGCUGGAAACUGUCUGGCUUGAGUCCGGAAGGGGCGAGUGGAAUUCCUGGUGUAGCGGUGAAAUGCGCAGAUAUCAGGAGGAACACCUGUGGUGUAGACGGCUUUCUGGACCAUUGCUGACGCUGAGACACGAAAGCGUGGGUAGCAAACAGGG
rnacentral:rRNA from 1 species